rnacentral:rRNA from 1 species
GAUGAACGCUGGCGGUCUGCUUAACACAUGCAAGUCGAACGAACUCUUCGGAGUGAGUGGCGGACGGGUGAGUAACGCGUGAGAAUCUGCCUGUGGGUCGGGGACAACCACUGGAAACGGUGGCUAAUACCGGAUGAGCCGAAAGGUAAAAGAUUUAUUGCCCACAGAUGAGCUCGCGUCUGAUUAGCUAGUUGGUAAGGUAAAAGCGUACCAAGGCGACGAUCAGUAGCUGGUCUGAGAGGAUGAGCAGCCACACUGGGACUGAGACACGGCCCAGACUCCUACGGGAGGCAGCAGUGGGAAUUUUCCGCAAUGGGCGAAAGCCUGACGGAGCAAUCUCGCGUGAGGGAUGACGGCCUAUGGGUUGUAAACCUCUUUUUCAGGGAGGAAUAAAUGACGUGUACCUGAAGAAUAAGCAUCGGCUAACUCCGUGCCAGCCGCCGCGGUAAU